rnacentral:rRNA from 1 species
GGCAACGGAUAUCUCGGCUCUCGCAUCGAUGAAGAACGUAGCGAAAUGCGAUACUUGGUGUGAAUUGCAGAAUCCCGUGAACCAUCGAGUCUUUGAACGCAAGUUGCGCCCGAAGCCGUCAGGCCGAGGGCACGUCUGCCUGGGCGUC